rnacentral:rRNA from 1 species
UGCAAGUCGAGCGAACAGAAGGGAGCUUGCUCCCGGAUGUUAGCGGCGGACGGGUGAGUAACACGUGGGUAACCUGCCUGUAAGACUGGGAUAACUCCGGGAAACCGGAGCUAAUACCGGAUAGUUCCUUGAACCGCAUGGUUCAAGGAUGAAAGACGGUUUCGGCUGUCACUUACAGAUGGACCCGCGGCGCAUUAGCUAGUUGGUGGGGUAAUGGCUCACCAAGGCGACGAUGCGUAGCCGACCUGAGAGGGUGAUCGGCCACACUGGGACUGAGACACGGCCCAGACUCCUACGGGAGGCAGCAGUAGGGAAUCUUCCGCAAUGGACGAAAGUCUGACGGAGCAACGCCGCGUGAGUGAUGAAGGUUUUCGGAUCGUAAAGCUCUGUUGUUAGGGAAGAACAAGUGCGAGAGUAACUGCUCGCACCUUGACGGUACCUAACCAGAAAGCCACGGCUAACUACGUGCCAGCAGCCGCGGUAAUACGUAGGUGGCAAGCGUUGUCCGGAAUUAUUGGGCGUAAAGGGCUCGCAGGCGGUUUCUUAAGUCUGAUGUGAAAGCCCCCGGCUCAACCGG